ACAACUAAGUAGUUCAAGAAAAUGUUAUUUUAUUGUAAUCCAUUGCUCCAUUGGCUACACAUCGUUGUUUGACAUGAAUGGAUGUGUGGCCUCGAAUGCAGUUCUCUAGAUUAGUGAACAUUUUGUCUCCCAUAACGAUUGGAACCAGGACUGCUGUGAACUUAUCUUUCAAAAUCGUAAGCGGUCCCGACAAUGAACCGCCUGACGAAAAACCUCCGCUUAUAAUCUGCCACGGUUUACUAGGAACGAAAGAAAAUUGGAAAUACUUAGGGAAAACUAUUCACGCGGUGACAAAAAGGGUAGUUGUGCGGAUAGACUUGAGGAACCACGGGCUCAGUCCGCAGACCAGGUCGCAUAAGUACGAGGAGCAAGCUGAAGAUGUUCUGCAACUUAUGGACAAGCUGGAGUUGAACAAAGCCAGUCUUAUAGGACACAACAUGGGUGCCAGGACAGCAAUGUCAGUCGCUUUGAUGAAGCCGUCGGCAGUAGCUAGCCUAAUCUUGUUAGACAUGUCACCCGCAACUACAAGCGCGGAGUUUACCACACUCUUCCCAAACAUCAUGAAAGCGAUGACCGAUGUUAAAUGGAAGGAAAAACGCAAAGUCCACAGAGCUAGAAAAGAUAUCAAAGAACAGUUGAAAAGUAUCAUUACCAAUGAAAUCAUUAUGGCGAAUGUGUUAUCCAAUAUCAACAUUAAACAAGAUGGCACUAUCGGGUGGACGUGCAAUCUAGAAACGCUAAUUAGACAUUUUAAAUACAUUUCGUCGUUUCCAUUCACUUUAGACAAAAACAAGAAGUACUUCGGACCAGCUUUGUUCAUAGGCGGACAGUUAUCGGAGUAUAUUCCUGCCGACGACCUACCGAGGAUCAGAGCGCUCUUCCCCCGAGCCGUGGUGAAGUUCGUCCCCGGCGCCGGUCACUUCGUCCACAAGGACGAACCCAAGGCCGUGCUGGAACUGGCCAUUGGCUUCCUCAAUCAUCACAAUAAUAACUAAGCUUUGUUGUGGAUAUUUGUUAUAGAGCGUGUUGGAUGUGCAUUUGUGUUAACGUAAUAAACUAUUACUACUGAAAAAAAAA